rnacentral:rRNA from 1 species
GAUGAACGCUGGCGGCGUGCCUAACACAUGCAAGUCGAACGGAGACGAGCUGUUAAGGCCUUCUGGUCAAAGGGGGGAAGGCUGAGUGACGGACGAGUGAGCUGCACUUGGCCUACCUAGCUCAUAAGGGGGGAGAACAGAAAGAAAUAUCUGAUAUUACGCCACAAGGAGACACUGCGAAAUGGCCGACGGUGAGAGGAGAACCGGUAUGAGAUGGACCCGCGUCUGAGUAGCGGGUUGGCAGGGUAAGAGCCGACCAAAGCGACGAUCAGUAGCCGGUCGGGGAGGAUGGACGGCCACAGUGGGACUGAGACACGGCCCACACUCCUACGGGAGGCAGCGGUGGGGGAUAUUGCACAAUGGGGGGAACCCUGAUGCAGCGACGCCGCGUGAGUGAAGAAGUAGUUCGGUAUGUAAAGCUCUAUCAGCAGGGAAGAUAAUGACAGUACCUGAAUAAGAAGCCCCGGCUAACUACGUG